GAUGAACGCUGGCGGCGUGCCUAAUACAUGCAAGUCGAGCGAACAGAUGAGGAGCUUGCUCCUCUGACGUUAACGGCGGACGGGUGAGUAAAACGUGGAUAACCUACCUAUAAGACUGGGAUAACUUCGGGAAACCGGAGCUAAUACCGGAUAAUAUAUUGAACCGCAUGGUUCAAUAGUGAAAGACGGUUUUGCUGUCACUUAUAGAUGGAUCCGCGCCGCAUUAGCUAUUUGGUAAGGUAACGGCUUACCAAGGCAACGAUGCGUAGCCGACCUGAGAGGGUGAUCGGGCACACUGGAACUGAGACACGGUCCAGACUCCGACGGGAGGCAGCAGUAGGGAAUCUUCCGCAAUGGGCGAAAGCCUGACGGAGCAACGCCGCGUGAGUGAUGAAGGUCUUCGGAUCGUAAAACUCUGUUAUUAGGGAAGAACAAAUGUGUAAGUAACUAUGCACGUCUUGACGGUACCUAAUCAGAAAGCCACGGCUAACUACGUG
rnacentral:rRNA from 1 species